rnacentral:rRNA from 1 species
UACGUAGGGUGCAAGCGUUGUCCGGAAUUAUUGGGCGUAAAGAGCUCGUAGGCGGUCUGUCGCGUCGGAUGUGAAAACCCAGGGCUCAACCCUGGGCCUGCAUUCGAUACGGGCAGACUAGAGUUCGGUAGGGGAGACUGGAAUUCCUGGUGUAGCGGUGAAAUGCGCAGAGUAUCAGGAGGAACACCGGUGGCGAAGGCGGGUCUCUGGGCCGAAACUGACGCUGAGGAGCGAAAGCGUGGGGAGCAAACAGG